CAGCAGCCGCGGUAAUACGAAGGGGGCUAGCGUUGUUCGGAUUUACUGGGCGUAAAGGGCGCGUAGGCGGGCUGAUAAGUCAGGGGUGAAAUCCCAAGGCUCAACCUUGGAACUGCCUUUGAUACUGUUUGUCUUGAGUUCGAGAGAUGUAAGUGGAACUGCGAGUGUAGAGGUGAAAUUCGUAGAUAUUCGCAAGAACACCAGUGGCGAAGGCGGCUUACUGGCUCGAAACUGACGCUGAGGCGCGAAAGCGUGGGGAGCAAACAGGAUUAGAUACCCCCGUAGUCCCUGUCUCUUAUAC
rnacentral:rRNA from 1 species